UGCGUAGGCGGCUAUGUAAGUCAGUUGUGAAAUACCUCGGCUUAACCGAAGGAAGUGCGAUUGAUACUGCGUAGCUUGAAUCAGGUUGAGGUAGGCGGAAUGUGACAUGUAGCGGUGAAAUGCUUAGAUAUGUCAUAGAACACCGAUUGCGAAGGCAGCUUACUGGGCUUUGAUUGACGCUGAGGCACGAAAGCGUGGGGAGCAAACAGGAUUAGAUACCCUGGUAGUCCACGCCCUAAACGAUGUUUACUUGCUGUUCCUCGCUUGACGGGGAGUGGCGAAGCGAAAGCGAUAAGUAAACCACCUGGGGAGUACGCCGGCAACGGUGAA
rnacentral:rRNA from 1 species